rnacentral:tRNA from 1 species
GCGGGCGUGGUGGAAAUGGCAGACACAGCGGACUUAAAAUCCGCUGGGGUAAAACCCCGUGCGGGUUCAAAUCCCGCCGCCCGCACCA